GGGCCGGUAGAUCAGGUGGAAGAUCGCUACAUUGGCAUUGUAGAGGCCGCGAGUUCAAAUCUCGCCCGGUCCACUA
rnacentral:tRNA from 1 species